rnacentral:lncRNA from 1 species
AACAUUAACACCCAGCAACCAGGAGAGGAGAGAGGCCUGGGGAAGACAGCCACCACCAAGUACACAAAGGUUGAAAGAGGACGUUUGUGGGAAGUAGACAUUUGUGAAUGUGGAUUUAGAAGAUUUUUCCCUGUGAUGAGCUGAGUCAUGGGUGAGAGCUGGAGAAAACAGAGCAACACAGGCAGCCCAGGGGCUGAGCAGGUCCUCCUACCUGAUCCAUCGCUCUGUCUGCAAGCUCUCCUGUCACAAGUGAGUGGCUGACAGCCUCCAGAAAACACCAGUCAGUUACACUGUGAUGUGCAGUCUGGCCAGGGCUCAGUGGAGAAGCCCACACUCAUUUAUCCAUCACUGAAUGUUGGUUGUGCCUCAGGAAACAGUCUGGUUGCCAGAUACAGACUGGCCAAGAAAAUGGACGUGAUUAGUCCUCUUUUGGUCCGUAUAAUGUGAAGACGGUCAUGUGAGCUAAUGUGUGCUGAGCAAAGGGAGGAUUUGGAUUCUUUUGCUUUAUCGGUCAAUCCUCUUCUCCCAUCAAAUCAAUGUGGAAAUCAACAGAGUCCCAAUGGCCUUCUUUGGUAAAGCCCUUGAUAGUUCUAUUUUUUAAGCAGUUUAAUAAAGAUCACAAUGAAUGAGAUUGCAGGUAAUUAAUGAUUUAGUGAACUGUUUGCAGUACUAUUGAACAUGAGCUGCAGAAAUUAUGAAAUGGUAGGUUGGUCCUUCCCUACCUCUCUCCAACACCCCCGUCCCAUCACCUGAAAACCCUCACUCUGCUGUCUGUGAGCCAGUACGAGAGUUUGAGAGAUAGAUUUUCAGAGCCUCAUUUUCUGCCCUUUGAAUGGCGAAAAAGCAUUUUCUUUAAAUUGAAUACUUGCAAGCCUCAUCUCAUUGAAGUUUUUGGAUGAGAAGCUCCGGUUAAGCUUAAAUUAUUAUGGCCUUCACAUUGUUUCCUAAACCAACUGCUUUAACUCAGGGUGGAAAAUGCAUCUACAUUUCUUUUUCUUUCUUUCCAUUUCUAAUUAGAUUUUGAGUUUAAUAAUGAAUUAAGUUUAAUAGGUCCUGAGCCCUAGAGGCAGCCUUUUUGAAUUUCGCUUACUUUUGUUUGAACUGGAGUAGCCAUGCAUCACCAGGAGUAAACGAAUUCAUCUGUAUUGUGAAUUGUAUUAAUAAAAAACCAUGGAAAUGGUAGAAUUUUAAUGAUUAGAUUACUAUUAUCUAGAAAUAUUAUAACUUUAAUGAUUGUGUUAUUUUAUUUAUCUUAAAGUCUCAAAUCAUCAUUUUCUUUUAAAUUAAUGCACCAGACCAAAACAAUGUGAUGAAUCAGGGAAUAUUUGAUAUUUUAAGGACCAUCCACAUUUUACACUUUAACUAGAAAAAGCUUUCUGUAAAUCUUCACCCACACACUUUUCUUUGAACUUACCAGCUAUGAAUUUAUAAUUGCGGAGAAGCAUGUAUAUGUAUCUAAAAUGGCAGUUGGGGUGGAAUAAUUUGUAUUUGAUUUUGAUUAAUUUCAAUUGGACACCAGUAUUUUUGCUUAUAUAGGAAAUUACUUUCUUGGCCAUGAAGAUUUUGCACAUCUCUCUAAUUGGAGUCCCUUAACCCUUCCUCUGAAAUGGCACAGGGCUUUACUUUUACAUAUUCGGUGUAUCUUAUGUGCUUGAAGAGCAGCUUUCUAUCCUGACAGCAGCGUGGGAGCUAGAGUCCAAGGAAACUGGUUUGAAUUCCAACUGCGCUCAUUUUAGAUCUGCAUACUUGAGCAAGUGCUUAAAUUUCCUGGGUCUCAGUUUCCUGAUCUGUGAAACAGGGAUGCUAAUUUAUAGGAGGGUUGGUGUGCAAAUGAGAGACAAGCUGAUAAAACACGGAGUUCGCUUCCUGCCCACAGUGGUCAGGCAAUUAUUUUGCCGAUGCGUCUGCCUCUGUCACUAGACAGGUGCUGAUCAGGGUAAAGGCUAUUUCUGUCUCGUUCACUUUUCUGUCCUCAUUCCUUAGCACAGUGUUUUACUUACAGAAGAGAUCAGUUCAUGUUUCUUGAUUGAGAAAAUUAAAUAAAGCCCAUCAUAAACUCUAACAAGAAAAUCCAAAAAGGUGUGAAAUUCCUACUUUCUUGCCCUACACCAAUUUCUUUCUAUAUGUGAUGCUAGUUUGUAAAUAGAUGAAGGCACUUACAUUACACAUUAGCUAAGGUCUUAUCUAGAGGGUAAAAUAAUUUUCACAUCUCAAGUAAACAGAGAGAGUUGAAAUGGCCACAAAGAAUUUGUUGUGCAUUCUAUGUUGUUUCCUAUAUCCAUAAUUCUCAUUGUGUCAACACAGUGGUUCAAAAGAGCUUGUCAAUAAGCUUAGUAAAUACUCCACAUAAGUUACAAUUCAGAUAACAAAAAGUUUGAUGUAAAGGUGCUAUUUUUUCAUUUCUCAUGAGUAGUCAUUGUGAGAGAUUGUGUCUUCUGUUUAAAAUGUAAGACUUAUUUUCUAAUACCAUGCCUGUAUGAAUUUAAUAAGUACAAUUAUUUCUCCCAUGCCGGUUCUUGGAUUCAAACAUCAUAGAACAUGACUAAUUAAUGAAGUAAUGUAAUUGGCUACAUGUUUUAAUUAAGAAGCUUGGGGCACAUGCACUUUGCUUUUUUUCCCCCAUCUAUAGUUUAUAUAUUUUUUCCUUUGGAGAUGUAUGAUAAGGAUGAGAGUUGCCUGUCAGAAUGAGAGUUGGAGAACUUCUGCUUACAGAAGUCAAUAUUAAGUGUCUACUAAAAUCGACUAGAUCUCUACCAGACAAAGCUUCAGAAUAAAAUAAGUGAUAAUAACUACAAAAGCUGGACAUGAACAAAAGCCGCAACCAGGAUGCCCUGGAGGGUGAAGAGAAGCAGACAAAUCCCCAGGGGAGAGCAGGCUUGCUCAGAGAAGGGGAGGUAGAAACUCCUUAAGUUAUGUGGGAGGGUGGCAGGGGGGCUGAGGCUGGAAAAUUACCUGUUGGGUGCAAUGUUCACUAUUGGGGUGAUGAGUACUCUCCAAGCUCAGACUUCAAUAUAUCCGUGUAACAAAACUGAACUUGGACAUAUUUCCUAAAUCUAUACAAUUUUUUUGAAAAAGAAACUCCCUAGGUAAUUUUUCUUUGGGGGUUGUGGGGCACAUGUGAAAAAAAUCUAGCAUCUUUCUGCUAGAUAAAUAAGAAACCAGAAAAGAGCUAUUGAAGAAACUAGGAAAUUCUCAAAGGAAACAACCCAAGAAUGGAUGUCCAAAAUCAACGUACCCACAGCUCUGACUGACCCCCGAAACAUGCAUAGGAAGAAUAAACUCAAAGUAUAUCAGCUAAGGACAAAAUAUCUGGACUGAGACCAGAACUGCUGCCCAAGAAACUGAGUUUUCAGUUCAUACCAGCUAACAAAAUUUUAUAUAAUUACUGAAAUAUAUAAAUCCACAUACCAAAACUGUAGAUGCUUUUGUAUGUAACUAUUACAUGUAUACAAAAAGAAAUAAUGAAGGUAUGAGGAUCAUUUAAGUUAUAAUACUAAUUUAAGUAUAAUUGUAAAAGCCGUAUCAUUUUGUCUUUUUAGAUUUUCAUUGCUAGUUGUUGGUAGAUUUAAAAUUUGUGAAACCAUCUUUAUUUCUCUCUGUAUAUGUAUUUUUUGAUUUAUUUAUGAUUAGCAUAAUUGUAAAAAACAUUUAAGCUUUGCUCACUCUCUUAGAUUUUGAAGAGCGCUUCAGUAUUUUGUAUUGGCAUAUCCAAUCAUUUACUUCAUCACUUAAUAAAUUAAACCUUUCCUGAGAUAGAUAUACAUCUGCUGGAAAUGGG